GCGUCGGUAGUGUAACGGCUCGAGCACGCGCCUCUGGAUAGGGUGAAAUAUGGGUUCGAUUCCCGCCUGACGCA